AGUGAACGCUGGCGGUAGGCCUAACACAUGCAAGUCGAACGGCAGCACAGUAAGAGCUUGCUCUUACGGGUGGCGAGUGGCGGACGGGUGCGGAAUACAUCGGAAUCUACUUUUUCGUGGGGGAUAACGUAGGGAAGCUUACGCUAAUACCGCAUACGACCUACGGGUGAAAGCAGGGGAUCUUCGGACCUUGCGCGAUUGAAUGAGCCGAUGUCGGAUUAGCUAGUUGGCGGGGUAAAGGCCCACCAAGGCGACGAUCCGUAGCUGGUCUGAGAGGAUGAUCAGCCACACUGGAACUGAGACACGGUCCAGACUCCUACGGGAGGCAGCAGUGGGGAAUAUUGGACAAUGGGCGCAAGCCUGAUCCAGCCAUACCGCGUGGGUGAAGAAGGCCUUCGGGUUGUAAAGUCCUUUUGUUCGGAAAGAAAAGCAGCAGGUUAAUACCCCGCUGUUAUGACGGUACCCAAAGAAUAAGCACCGGCUAACUUCGUG
rnacentral:rRNA from 1 species